AUUGGCUAAUAACCGAUGGGGCUGACGGUACCCGAGGAAUAAGCACCUGGCUAACUUCGUCCCAGCAGCCGCGGUAAUACGAAGGGUGCAAGCGUUAAUCGGAAUUACUGGGCGUAAAGGGUGCGUAGGCGGUUUGUUAAGUCUGUCGUGAAAUCCCCGGGCUCAACCUGGGAAUGGCGAUGGAUACUGGCAAGCUAGAGUGUGUCAGAGGAUGGUGGAAUUUCCGGUGUAGCGGUGAAAUGCGUAGAGAUCGGAAGGAACAUCAGUGGCGAAGGCGGCCAUCUGGGACAACACUGACGCUGAAGCACGAAAGCGUGGGGAGCAAACAGGAUUAGAUACCCUGGUAGUCCACGCCCUAAACGAUGCGAACUGGAUGUUGGUCUCAACUCGGAGAUCAGUGUCGAAGCUAACGCGUUAAGUUCGCCGCCUGGGGAGUACGGUCGCAAGACUGAAACUCAAAGGAAUUGACGGGGGCCCGCACAAGCGGUGGAGUAUGUGGUUUAAUUCGAUGCAACGCGAAGAACCUUACCUGGCCUUGACAUGUCCGGAAUCCUGCAGAGAUGCGGGAGUGCCUUCGGGAAUCGGAACACAGGUGCUGCAUGGCUGUCGUCAGCUCGUGUCGUGAGAUGUUGGGUUAAGUCCCGCAACGAGCGCAACCCUUGUCCUUAGUUGCCAGCGAGUAAUGUCGGGAACUCUAAGGAGACUGCCGGUGACAAACCGGAGGAAGGUGGGGAUGACGUCAAGUCCUCAUGGCCCUUACGGCCAGGGCUACACACGUACUACAAUGGUCGGUACAGAGGGUUGCAAUACCGCGAGGUGGAGCCAAUCCCAGAAAGCCGAUCCCAGUCCGGAUCGAAGUCUGCAACUCGACUUCGUGAAGUCGGAAUCGCUAGUAAUCGCGGAUCAGCUAUGCCGCGGUGAAUACGUUCCCGGGCCUUGUACACACCGCCCGUCACACCAUGGGAGUGAGUUGCUCC
rnacentral:rRNA from 1 species